GUCCUUGUCGAUUAGUGGUUAAAUCAUCUCGUUGUGGAGCACCAGCCCAGCGGGUGCAGCAACCGAGAAGCCGGAAGUUCGAAUCCUCCCUGGGACA